rnacentral:tRNA from 5 species
GCCCGGGUGGUGGAAUUGGUAGACACAAGGGACUUAAAAUCCCUCGCCAGCAAUGGCGUGCCGGUUCAAGUCCGGCUCCGGGUACCA